rnacentral:pre_miRNA from 1 species
AGAAUGGAAUUCAGCCAAGGAUGACUUGCCGGCAUAAUCUCUAACAAGAUUUUCAAUCUGCCGGCAGGUUGUCCUUAGCUAAAUUUGACAUCUCU